GUCGUCAGCUCGUGUCGUGAGAUGUGGUUAAGUCCCGCAACGAGCCGCAACCCUCGACCUUAGUUGCCAGCAUUCAGUUGGGCACUCUAAGGUGACUGCCGGCUAAAAGUCGGAGGAAGGUGGGAUGACGUCAAAUCAUCAUGCCCCUUAUGACCUGGGCUACACACGUGCUACAAUGGGCGGUACAAAGGGUCGCGAACCCGCGAGGGGAGCCAAUCCCAAAAAGCCGCUCUCAGUUCGGAUUGCAGGCUGCAACUCGCCUGCAUGAAGCCGGAAUCGCUAGCAAUCGCGGAUCAGCAUGCCGCGGUGAAUACGUUCCCGGGCCUU
rnacentral:rRNA from 1 species